AUAUCUUUCUUGGCCUUUUGGCGAAGAUCAAGUGUAGUAUGUGUUUAUUAGCUUAAUAUCUGAUACGCAGGCUAAUGGCUCAUACGAUAUUAAAUUUAUAUUUUGAGGGUGAGAACCUUUCAUAGUAGCUUGCUUCAGGGGGAGGAUCAAGCUCAGAAACGAGCUUGAAUCGAGCUCGAGUUUCAAUCGAGCUCUUGAA